rnacentral:rRNA from 1 species
GAUGAACGCUAGCUACAGGCUUAACACAUGCAAGUCGAGGGGUAGCAGGGUAGCAAUACCGCUGACGACCGGCGCACGGGUGAGUAACACGUAUCCAACCUUCCCAUAACUCAGGGAUAGCCUUUCGAAAGAAAGAUUAAUACCUGAUGGUACUUAUAUAAGGCAUCUUUUAUAAGUUAAAGAUUUAUUGGUUAUGGAUGGGGAUGCGUUCCAUUAGAUAGUUGGUGAGGUAACGGCUCACCAAGUCUUCGAUGGAUAGGGGUUCUGAGAGGAAGGUCCCCCACAUGGGUACUGAAACACGGACCAAACUCCUACGGGAGGCAGCAGUGAGGAAUAUUGGUCAAUGGGCGCGAGCCUGAACCAGCCAAGUAGCGUGAAGGAUGAAGGUCCUAUGGAUUGUAAACUUCUUUUAUAGUAGAAUAAAGUGAGCCACGUGUGGUUUUUUGUAUGUAUACUAUGAAUAAGGAUCGGCUAACUCCGUGCCAGCAGCCGCCGUAACAC